rnacentral:rRNA from 1 species
GACGAACGCUGGCGGCGUGCUUAACACAUGCAAGUCGAACGGUGAGGCCCUUCGGGGUACACGAGUGGCGAACGGGUGAGUAACACGUAGGUGAUCUGCCCUGCACUUCGGGAUAAGCCUGGGAAACUGGGUCUAAUACCGGAUAGGACCACUGCCUGCAUGGGUGGUGGUGGAAAGCUUUUGCGGUGUGGGAUGGGCCCGCGGCCUAUCAGCUUGUUGGUGGGGUGAUGGCCUACCAAGGCGACGACGGGUAGCCGGCCUGAGAGGGUGACCGGCCCAACUGGGACGGAGAUCCGGCCCAGACUCGUACGGGAGGCAGCAGUGGGGAAUAUUGCACAAUGGGCGCAAGCCUGAUGCAGCGAGGCCGCGUGAGGGAUGACGGCCUUCGGGUUGUAAACCUCUUUCAGCACCGACGAAGCGCAAGUGACGGUAGGUGCAGAAGAAGGACCGGCCAACUACGUGCCAGCCGCCGCAGUAA